AAAAAAUAUAUUAAUUUUCUGUAGGAACCCAGAGUGCAGAGAAUAUUUCUCUGCCUGUUUUGAAGGGUUUUUAGCCCCCUGAGCAACACUGUUUUGACCUUUGUCCAUGGAAAAAUUGCCAACUAUCAGACAAGAACUAGA